AACUGACCUUGGCGGGCAUCAGAAUGAUGAGUGGCAGCAGCAGGAGCGGGGUGACGAACAAGAUCACGAAGGACUUGAACUUGGCGACAUAGCUCAGCGCCGAGGCCAUCGCGCGGAAGGGAGACUGACGGGAGAGACGAAGGAAAACGGAGGUCUAGAGAGGAAGGGACACUACUAAGGCGACUCUGAGACAGUCACCCAUAUGUUCAUUCAGCCCGCCAGGCAACAUACAGACUGGACGUGUCUCAGUCCGGAAAACUCAACACAUCCUGAAUCAAGCUCAUGAGUCCCUUCCUGUGACCUGCACCCAAGGACACACAUUCCUCCAAACCCCUUCUUCAAUUGCCUCCCUCAUGCCCCCUCUCUAAUUCUCAUUCAUAGAACCCUGGGUUUUCCUCUUUCCUCUUUUCACCAGGGCACUCAGCAUAAUUUGUACCUCUUAUAUUUAUUGGUGUAAUUUUUAUUUUUUAUUUUUUUUAAAGUAAAAUAAAAAUAUAAAAUAAAAAUAAUUGACAAAUAAUUGUCUAUAUUUAUGAAGUACCAUGUGAUUUUUCAGUGUAUGUAUAAUUGUGGCAGGAUCAAAUCAGGCUAAUGAGCAUAUUCAUCACUCAAAUAUUUAUCAAAUAUUUCAUUUCUUUGUGGUGACAACAUUUAAAAUAUCUUAUAGCUUUUUAAAAAUAUAUGAUGCAUUAUUAUGAUGUCAUUUCUAUCUACUGUCUGCUUUAUUCAUCACUGCCUAUCCAGCUAGCACCUUUCCCAGUGCCUGACCCAGGGUGUGCACUCAAACCUUUUUCUCUGGGAUGAAUGAAUGAGAGCAAGUAAACAUCUUCAGUUAUUAUUAUUUUUUUAACUUUACUUAAGUUCUGGGAUACAUGCCCUGAAUGUGCAGGUUUGUUACAUAGGUAUACACAUGCCAUGGUGGUUUGCUCCACCUAUCAACCUGAUAUCUAGGUUUUAAGUCCCAUAUGCAUUAGGUAUUUGUCCUAAUGCUCUCCCUCCCCUUGCCCCCCAGCCCCUGACAGCCCCCAGUGUGUGAUGUCCCCCUCCCUGUGUCCACCAUGUGUUCUCAUUGUUCGACUCCAACUUAUAAGUGAGAACAUUCAGUGUUUGGUUUCCUGUUCCUGUGUUAGUAUGCUGAGAAUGAUGACUUCCAGCUUCAUCCAUGUCCCUGCAAAGGACAUGAGCUCAUUAUUUUUUGUGACUGCAUUAUAUUCCAUGGUAUAUAUGUGCCACAUUUUCGUUAUCCAGUCAAUCACGAUGGGCAUUCGGGUUGGUUUUAAGUCUUUGCUAUUGUAAUUAGUGCUGCAAUAAACAUAUGUGUGCAUGUG